UAGACUCUACUAUUAAGGA
rnacentral:tRNA from 1 species